GUAGAAGAUACUGGAAGAUCAACUCUAAUUUGUGGCUGGCUUCCCAGCAGUCUCUUUACUUCACCAUAUCUGGGAGCCAGAAGUACUCACAUGUGAUAACUCAAAAGGCAGAACAAUCAGUCAAGGGCAAGUUGGUUUAUUUUUGUUCACGGGUGUCCCUGUGCAUUCCCAAACAAAAUGAAGGUGAAGAGAGGAAGUGUGGAAAAGAUAAUGGCUUUCAGAUGUCCACAGCAGUUUUUGCCUGGACCAUUUUUCAUCAUUUAGUGGUGGGGUUUCAAUUUCUAAUAUGCAGAGCAAUCACCCAGCCUUUCCCACAGCUAAGACUUUGAGAGAUGUAGUAAAGCAGCACAGUGUAUAAUCUGGUCCUCAACACUGGCACACAGAGUAAGGCUUGAUUCAACCUUGCCACCUAAAAUUAUAUGCUCCAACUAUCCAACAAAUAAAGCGUUGAAUAGGAGACCUCCAAAAAAUAACAGUGAUGCAAGAAGCAAUGAUGAAUCAAGGGGAAACACAUUUCCUUUGGAUGGGCUUGAAUCAGUGCCUUGUCAUGGUGGGAAGUGCCUGUCAUAUGAUGCUGGCCUUACUUUCCUUCAGUUGAGAAAUAAAAGUGAGGUUCUGACUGCAUGUCAUCAAACCGCCUCAGGCUCUUUGGCAAAGGUAGAGAAUGUUAGCUCUGGUGUCCUGGACCGUUUCCAUCCUGGAGAAUUAUAUUUGGCCUGGGCGUGGAUUAAAUUCAGCUCUAAGAGCUCAAACUCCUGGGUCACAACCUGCUACUUUGGGAUUUUUUUUCCCCAUUGCCUCCCUCCUUUCUUUUUUUAAUUUAAAGUAGUCUUAGAUAAAUCACAAAAUCUGUAUGCCUUUAUAUAUAGGAGAUUUAUAUGAAAUAGGAGAUUGCCUUCAGAUUUAUACAAGCUUCUUAGCUUAUUCUGAAACACUAAGAAUGAAAACAAAAAUGCCACUUAACUACUUAGAAUUAAUAGUACCUUUCUGUAACUCCAAAUAGAUAGGGUGUCCUUCACUUUUCACCCUGGUAUGGUCUUGCUAUCAAACUGUUCAAAUAUGCUCCAUUUCCCCCUCUUUAUUUCAGAGAUGGAUGAAAUAUUUCUCUUGUGCACUGAAUAUAGGGUAUGAUCUCAGAGCUCUCUGUGCCAGCAGAAUCAGCCUGGAACUCAGCCAAAAGUUCUUCGUGAUUAAAGGUGCCAUCUGAGCACACAAUAUUUUUUUAAAAGCCUUGCAAAAUGGAAACACACUUUUAUUAUUUUUUUAACGUCACUAGCUUUAACACCAGGACUGACUUGAGCCUUUAGGGAAGGAUCACAGGCCUCAAUCCCUCUCUUCUUUCCCCCUGCCCUCUCAUCAUGUUUCUUGGUCAAAUGUCUUAUGAUAAGGCCAAGUCCAUACAGCUAAAUAAACUCAAUAAAUGGAGUUCCAAGACAACUCCACAAAUCAUCAGUUGCAGAUUCAAGGACCUCCUGAACCACAUGCCUUGUAAGUUGGGAUACAGCAAGAUUUGAUGGUAAAGUUUGCCUUUAUUUAUUUUUUUUUUUUUAGCUUAUUUUUUGUAAUCUCUACACCCUAUGUGGGGCUCAAACUCACAACCCUGAGAUCAAGAGUUGCGUGCUGUUCCAAGAGAGAGCCAGCCAGGUGCCCAGAAAAGUUUGGCUUUAUAAUGCAAACAAUGCUAGUGUAUCUUCUAGAAAGACCUCUCACUUGAGAAUUGAUAGUCAUCUCUUGAGAUGGUAGUGUCUCAUGAUUUUCCAUUUUUUUCAGAAUGGUAUUCCUUUACUUGCUUUUGCAAUUUUUUACUUCUCUUUUACAUCCCAAACUAUGUGAUGGGGAUUAAGGAGUGCGCUUGUGGUGAUGUAGGUAAGUGUUGAAUCACUAUAUUGUACACCUGAAACUAAUAUUACACUGUAUGUUAACUAACUGCAAUUUAAAUAAAACUUUUUUAAAAAAGGAAAGAAAAAAGAAAAUCUCUGAUACUGUUAAUUACAUCAUCCCAAGGCACUGAAAAAUUGUAACACUGGAUGAAUAAAUGGUCUUCAUGGAAGUGGCAUUCCUCCAGAUGCUGCUAAACUCCUGGGCUUAGGGGGCACUGUUAGAGGGCUUCCUCAGACCCCUCAGCACAUGAUAACGAUCUUCUCUGCCUCCCUCACCCUACUUUGGGUCCUCCCACAGGUUUAGGGUCACAAAAAAUCAGAUCUCUCUCUCUAGCCUAACAUGCUCCCCUCUUUUUGUCAUCUGCCCUUCCAGCAACACAGGGGUCACCUGGAUGAUCCGCAUGCUGCUGCCCUAAACUUCCCCUCCAUCAAGGCAACAGCUUUCAGCUCAGCUCUCACCAGGAAAGAGAGAGCAAAUGAGAUCCAAAUGACAGGAACAAUAGUCUAGGCUGUUUGACAAGGGCAGGGCACAAACAGGGCAGGCAGCUGGUGAGUUCUGUUACCUCAUUUAAUCUCCAUAACCCUGAGGAAGAGGGUUGUAUUUUUAUUCUCAUUUUACAGAUGAGGAAAUUGAGACCCAGAGCAGUGAGGGGACUUGUUCAAAGCCACUCAGGUACUUAGUAGCAGAGCCAGUAUUAGAGCCCCAGGUCCCAACAGCCAGGUAAGUACCUUUUCCACUGUACCACAGCUUGCCUCUCCUUUUCAUUCACUUGGCAAGUGUUAAUGGAUGCUUCUAAACACUGGGGAUACAAAAAUGAAUAAGACAGAGUGUCUAACAUUGAGUCCAGAGCUCACAGAGGAGGGGCCAACAAAGGAAUAAAUAAUUAUAGGCAUGUAAGGCUAUAAUAGAGAAAUUGACAAAGUGCUAUGUGAGCCUCCAAAACAGUGAUGAUCUCUUCCCACAUGCAGGUAAUAACAUCAAGGAGGUGACAUUUGAGCUGUCCCAAACUCAAGGGGAGUUUCUGUUUUCCAAAUCUGUAGCAUUAGCUCCAAGCCUGAAAACGUUUCAGUGAAAGCUGACCCAAAUAUCAGGUCACCAAAGAGUCCCUCAUCAUCUUUGAUCAGAUUGCAACAACCUCCUCAUAAUCUCCCUGUCUUGUCCUCCUCCAGUCCAUACUAUGCACAGAGUGAUGGCUCUAAAAAAUCUGAACAUACUACUUCCUUGCACAAACCCUGCCGUGAUUCCUUUUGCCUAUAGGCUAAAUUUUGAAUCUCUCAGACUGGCAUUCAAGGCUUUGAUGAUCUAGCCCCUGUCUACCUCUUCCAUCUCUUCUCACACAGUUCUAUCCUGUCACUCCUAAGACUAAUCAUACUGAAGUACUGAAGUCCUCAGAACAGGAGAAAUUUCUCCUCACAAAACACACUCCACUGUCAAGUGGCAAACUCCCACUUCCAUGCAUCUGAUCGUGCAGACUCUGCUUAUGCAGCCCCCUGUACCAGCCUCUGCACAGCCCUUGGCACACCAUGUUCAAAGUGUCUUUUUCUAGAUCUAUCUCUCCCCCACCAUGAGGGAGAUCUUCAUGGGUGGAGAACGUGUUCUUGAAUCAUUAGUGCCAAAUAUCAGGCCUGGCACACAGUGGGUAGCCAGUGAAUGUUCUUUGAGCAAAUAAACAAAAAUUGUAGAAACUAAACUCUCUAAGAAGUUUCUGGGGCAGUCUAAGUUCAGGUUACCCUGAUAAUCAGAAAGGAUUAGGUCUUCAGCUGAUUCCCGUUUAUUUAAGAGGACAAAAAGAAAAUUUAAAAAUUGUACAGUUUUUGGUUACAGAAAUCCAAGAGGCAGAUAGUGACCCUUCUCUCCUGCUGGCUGCCUCUAGGGUCUUCACCACAGACACUCAGUUCUGCUGCUCUUUUAUUUUAUCAGCUGUGAAUUGUUUGCAAAAUUCCAAGCAGCUUGUAGGAAAUUCAGGAAAACUCAGCAGCGAGAAGAGAAGCUGGUUUCACUUUCCAACCCAGCUCAUUUCUGAAAUGUAACACCAUAUAGGGUUUUUAAAGUAUGCUCACUUCCUGUGGCCAUGAUUUCAAUAGUUUGGAACAAUUUGCAGUUCGUGCCUCCCUUCUGGAAUGUACAAUAAUUACCCUAUAAUUCCACAGGUCUCAAAUCUAAACUGUCUUAUAUGUUUCAUUGUUAGAGGGCAAAAUCAGUCCAGUUCCUGUUUUGGACAUUUUGGUUUAAAAAAUUUUUUUAAAUCAACAACUAAUAGCAUUUUUCUUUGCUUCUAUGAACAAUAAAGUCACAAGCAUCCUCUAGAAGUAUUUUAUAAAAUCGAUAUGUUAAAACAAGGCCUCCUGCAUCCUCCUCUGACACAUUUACGGGAGCAUCAUCCUUGAAAUCUGAGAAAAUGAUGCAGCCUCUGGGGCUUACGGAUCACCACUGAGUAAGAAAAGUACAAGUAUAGAAUGUGAAAGACCUCAUCAUUUAUAUUUUCAGCUCUGGGAAUUUGAAAAAUGAUACACCCACAGUGAAAUUCUUUUCAUUCAAGGAUAGGGACUACCUUGUGCUCUGCUCAUCUUAUGCUUCUUGCAAAGGAGGCACUCAGUGAGGAUCACUGUUAUUCCCCAAAAUCAUUCAGGAUCGUGUUUCUCCCCUCUUGAUGCCAAUUUGUGAAAUUCUAAAUUAUGUAAUG
rnacentral:lncRNA from 1 species